UACGGGGGGGGUAAGCGUUGUUCGGAAUUACUGGGCGUAAAGGCUCGUAGGCGGCCAACUAAGUCAUACGUGAAAUCCCUCAGCUUAACUGGGGGAACUGCGUGUGAUACUGGAUGGCUUGGAUUUGGGAGAGGGAUGCGGAAUUCCAGGUGUAGCGGUGAAAUGCGUAGAUAUCUGGAGGAACACCGGUGGCGAAGGCGGGCAUCCUGGACCAAUAUUGACGCUGAGGAGCGAAAGCCAGGGGAGCAAACGGGG
rnacentral:rRNA from 1 species